UACGAAGGGGGCUAGCGUUGUUCGGAUUUACUGGGCGUAAAGCGCACGUAGGCGGACUUUUAAGUCAGGGGUGAAAUCCCGGGGCUCAACCCCGGAACUGCCUUUGAUACUGGAAGUCUUGAGUAUGGUAGAGGUGAGUGGAAUUCCGAGUGUAGAGGUGAAAUUCGUAGAUAUUCGGAGGAACACCAGUGGCGAAGGCGGCUCACUGGACCAUUACUGACGCUGAGGUG
rnacentral:rRNA from 1 species